ACAGUCAGAUUCCCCCCAUCAGUUGCAACUAACUUGAUUUUGAUGGAUUAAAAGAAGAUGAAAAUCUACUCAGCUCCUCCCUUUGAAGUGCAGGGAUCAUUAAGAUAACAAACAAAUAGCCAUAAAACACAGACUUGAUUCAUUCCAAAGACAGUUGUGCCAUAGUAAAUCAUCUCAAGCAGUGAACAUUGCAUACACCAGCCUUUUAUCGGACAUGUUCUCCUGCCAAUUCUCUCAGCCAUAUGCUAGUCGGGGCAUGGAAAUUGAAGACCACUCUAUUUGUAGGGCAUCAAGCUGGUAAACAUUGAACUUCCACACCAGUGGUGAUAUUCAGCCGGUUCUAUCCGGCUCGAGAGAAUUGGUUGCGGCGGCUGUGGAAGGCUCCGCUCACCCACCCGGAUGUCAUCAUUUCCUGUUUUUGACGAUCUGUGCAUGCGCGGAAGUCCCUGUGCAUGUGCGCUCACAUUUGCGAACCGGUAGCGAAGAUUUUGGCCCAGCAACUCAAAGCUGAAGAACUCAGCUGGUGACAAGCAACUCAUCUGCCACCAAUGGAGAGGCAUCUGCUGCAUUAAAGCAAAUUAUCUGGAAAGAGA